UCCUGCUUUAACUGAUUGUUAUAAAAAUUAGUAUGUAUGUAUAAAUUAUUGAGAGUCAUUUUUUUAACUUGUUUGAAAUAAAACUUCAAAGGCAGAAACAAUCCACUGGAAAUGUUUACAAUGUGACUUAUUAAUGUGUGACAACUAGUAAGAACAAGUGGUAGUGUAAUCCAUGGGAAUGGCAGAUAAAAACUGACACAAUUUUUUUUAUAAAUACAACCUAUGUACGAACUUUAAAGAAAGAAUGCAGCAGUUCACUGGAAAUGUAGCACAUGUGAAUCACUUUUGUGUGACAGUUUUAGAAAAAGUGUCAGGGACCAGCCAGAUAAAACAAGAGACAAUAUGUUUGUUAAUGUACAAUCUGUGUACAACAUCCAAAUACAGAAAACAAUCCAAUGGAAAUGUAGCACAUGUGACUCACUUUUGUGUGACAAGUUUUAGAAAAAGUGCCAGGGACCAGCCAGAUAAAACAAGAGACAAUUUGUUAGUUAAUGUACAAUGUGUGUAUUCAAAAUGUGUACAAUUGCCAAAGACAAAGAUCCAUUGGAAAUGUAGCACAUGUGACUCACUUAUGUGCAACAACUUUAAGGACAAGUGCCAGUGUCAUCCAUGGACAUGGCAGGUAAAAACUGAGACAUUUUUGUUUCAAUAACAUGUGUACAAACUUUAAAGACAGAAUACAAUCCACUGGAAAUGUAGCACAUGUGAAUCACUUUUGUGUGACAAAUUACAGAAAAAGUGCCAGUGUCAUCCAUGGACAUGGCAGAUAAGACAUGAGAAAAUUUGAUUUUUAUAAACAAUCUGUGUACAAACUUGAAGGACAGAAUACAAUCCACUGGAAAUGUAUAACAUGCGACUUACUUUUGUGUGUCAACUUUAAAAGAACAGGAGCCAGGGAUCUGUUAGCUUAAACAAUAUGUUUGUUUAUAUACAAUCUAUAUAUCAAAAUGAGAAGGGGCAGGACCUUUUUUGUGAUGUCGAGACGGGGUGUUUUUAAGCUCGGGAUUUUAGGAUUGAUCCUUUCGGGAUCCAGGAUUUUUUUUCUUCGAACUUCGGGAUGUUUGGAUUAAAUAUUUUUGAAUUUGGGACUCGAGAUUUCAUUUUUUUAAGCCUGAGAGUUCGGUAUCAGGACCCCUCCGACUCCCCCCCCCUUUACAAUUGCCAAAGACAGAAAAACAAAUCCACUGGAAAUGUUCCAAAUGUGAAUUGUUAAUGUGUGACAACUGUAAGAACAAGUGCUAGGCACAUGUCAGAUACAAAAUAAGACAAUAUGUUUCUAUCGUACAAUUUGUGUACAAACUUGAAAUACUUAUUAAAUCUUAUCGAAUCUUAUUAAAAAAUGUAUUCAAUGCUUUAUAAAAUCAUAGACUUUAAAGAUGUUUUGUUAACUAUUUUUUUUAGUAAACACUGAUGCUUCUUUCAGAAACCUUCCAGAUGGAGGAAAUCAAGGAAGGUUUGUGAUAAUGGUACUUGGAGAAAAUAGGAAAAUCAACCCAGUUACCUGGCAAUCCAUGAAAAUUAGAAGUACACUAGCUAGCGAAACACUGGCUUUAGCAGAUGGUAUUGAUUGUGCAAUAUCACUAGUAGUCCUAUAAUAUAUAACUUUGGAGUUUGAUAUCCUUUACAUUCAACGUUUUUUAUCAGAUUUUUUUUUUUUACUAUCAUCACACUAGCUAUUUUGUAUAAUGAGCUAAUAGUUAAUAAAUGUACUUCAGAAGGAGGUAAUCCAGUUUGCUGUGUUGACAAUAAGGACCUUUUUGAGGUGGUACAUUUAAAGAAAAAUGUAUUUGAAAAGAGACAGAGACUGGAAAUUUGCUGCAUCAAGGACAUGAUCAAAACAGGAGAGUUAACCGUCCAUUAGAUUAAAACAAAUGGACAAAUUGCUGAUGAGUUGACAAAGUAUGGUGCCAGUGCACAGAACUUUUUACAUUGUUUUGAGACUGGAUUUGUUAAUACUGUUUUUAUGAAGUAGCUAUACAUUAAUUAUGUGACACUUACAAAAG
rnacentral:lncRNA from 1 species